rnacentral:misc_RNA from 1 species
AAGUCGUAACAAGGUUUCCGUAGGUGAACCUGCGGAAGGAUCAUUAACACGUAUCCAACGUUAAACCCCCCGUGCACACAGCUUCGGUCUUUUGGCAAUCCCUGGUAAAUCAAGGGCCGGGGUAGGGUAUUUCAGUAGUAGUCAAUGCAAAGCAACCUGGUUUCUUUGAAGCAGAAAGUGUGAUGGCGUGAGCCGGAGAACGGACCGAGUGGUAGUUCAAAGGUGCCUUCUGUCGCGCACUGUGGAAAGGAAGCCAACACUGUCAGUGACCGGGUUCCUGGUCCUAGACCCCAUAUUCACCACCACAGUCGCAGACGAGGUAGGGAUACGUCCCUACCACCAAAUAAAUACUUGAACAACUGUUAACAAUGGAUAUCUUGGUUCUC